rnacentral:lncRNA from 1 species
AGGGGAACCGCACAUACAGGGAGGGUGAGAAACCCGGGAUGCCGCUGAAGCCACUGCUCCAGGAUCUGACCCACAGGAAGUGUGCUUUGCCGAUCCGCUAGGCGGCGCACGAGACAAUCAAGUUGACACUUUCCAGGUUCCAUUCGCAUGGCCACCUCCACCAUCAGGAUGCGGUGCAGCCCCUUCCCCUUCUCUCAUACUGUCCCAGUGUCCUCUCCCUGCCUGCCCUCUGCCCUGGGCCUCUCCCUGCUCGCCUGAGCUCCCGCACACAGGUCAGGGAGUGGAGCUCACAGCAGGGACCUGGAGACCAGCCUCGCUCACACAGCACAGCGCCUCUCUGCUGCAGCCCUGUUCCCUGGGUCACCGCGCAUAGUCCUCCCAGAGCCAGCGCAACUGUCCGUGUCCACUGUGGACUCCUGUGUGCUGUUUUUGCGUGUGAGAAAUGUGAAGGAGGCUGCUGGGAGUGUUUAUGCUCAGCUUUGUGUAUGGACCUGUUAUUUCUCUUUCCCGGAACCUGAGAUAAGGGAGUGUUGAUAGGAAAUGGCGAACUUUUCUCAAUAAGCACUGGAUGAGUCUUCUUUUUAGCACUGCAUGAUAUUAGUAUUUGCUCCAAUCCCCACCAGCAUGUGAAAUUUGUUAUCAAUUUCCCUUUUCUGUUUUUGGCCUCAUGAUUGUGCAAUGUUUUCCCAUAAGGUUAUGCUGGAGAUUCCUAAGGACUGACAGUGUGAAAAUCUUAUAAACAUUAAAUGAAUCAUUUUUUAUUUCAGUUCAGAAAAACAGUCCCAGAACUGAGAAGAGUUCAGUGCCUGUGCUUUCAGUUUUCUGGAAAAGUUGACCAUGUUUCCAUGUGCAUGUUGCUCGUGCGCACAUCUUCCUCAGAAGGAUGUGCCUUUAAAUCAAAUGCCUAGUUUUGGACGAUGCAGGGUGGUGAACCUAGAGCCUCAUACCUGCUCCUCCAGUGCCCUACCACUGAGCUAAACCCAGCCUUUGCUCUGUUUAUAAAGAUUGUGUACUGG